GGCAGACCUGAUGGUGUUGAAGGUCAUGCAACUUUGCAGUCUCUCUUAUAAAGUUGGGGUGCUGCCAAGACCGGAGUCACAGCUAGUGUCCUCCCUCCAGUAGCCCUUCUGUUCCGACGACUGAGUUGCUGUUGAACAAUGUUUGUGACACUGUUUCCACUUGUGGUUACUAUUUGGUGAGCAAAGAUAAUUUCUAUUUCUUGCUACUUGAAGCUUAGGAUUGCCUCCUGGCCACCUUUCUACUCA
rnacentral:lncRNA from 1 species